CACAAGCGGUGGAGCAUGUGGUUAAUUCGAAGCAACGCGAAGAACCUUACCAGGGCUUGACAUCCCUCUGACAGUCCCUUAACCGGGACCUUCUUCGGACAGAGGAGACAGGUGGUGCAUGGUUGUCGUCAGCUCGUGUCGUGAGAUGUUGGGUUAAGUCCCGCAACGAGCGCAACCCUUGUCUUUAGUUGCCAUCAUUCAGUUGGGCACUCUAGCGAGACUGCCGGUAAUAAACCGGAGGAAGUGGGAUGACGUCAAAUCAUCAUGCCCCUUAUGACCUGGGCUACACACGUGCUACAAUGGUUGGUGCAACGAGUUGCGAGUCGGUGACGGCGAGCUAAUCUCUUAAAGCCAAUCUCAGUUCGGAUUGUAGGCUGCAACUCGCCUACAUGAAGUCGGAAUCGCUAGUAAUCGCGGAUCAGCACGCCGCGGUCGAAUACGUUCCCGGGCCUU
rnacentral:rRNA from 1 species